rnacentral:rRNA from 2 species
UAAGCAUAUCAAUAAGCGGAGGAAAAGAAACUAACAAGGAUUCCCCUAGUAACUGCGAGUGAAGCGGGAAAAGCUCAAAUUUAAAAUCUGUCAGCUUUGGCUGUCCGAGUUGUAAUCUAGAGAAGUGUUAUCCGCGCUGGACCGUGUACAAGUCUCCUGGAAUGGAGCGUCAUAGAGGGUGAGAAUCCCGUCUUUGACACGGACUGCCAGGGCUUUGUGAUGCGCUCUCAAAGAGUCGAGUUGUUUGGGAAUGCAGCUCAAAAUGGGUGGUAAAUUCCAUCUAAAGCUAAAUAUUGGCGAGAGACCGAUAGCGAACAAGUACCGUGAGGGAAAGAUGAAAAGAACUUUGGAAAGAGAGUUAAACAGUACGUGAAAUUGCUGAAAGGGAAACGCUUGAAGUCAGUCGCGUUGUCUAGGGACUCAACCUUGCUUUUGCUUGGUGUACUUUCUGGUUGACGGGUCAGCAUCAAUUUUGACUAUUGGAAAAAGGUCAGGGGAAUGUGGCAUCUUUGGAUGUGUUAUAGCCCUUGGUUGUAUACAAUGGUUGGGAUUGAGGAACUCAGCACGCCGCAAGGCCGGGUUUUUUUAACCACGUACGUGCUUAGGAUGCUGGCAUAAUGGCUUUAAUCGACCCGUCUUGAAACACGGACCAAGGAGUCUAACAUACCUGCGAGUGUUUGGGUGGAAAACCCAAGCGCGUAAUGAAAGUGAAAGUUGAGAUCCCUGUCGUGGGGAGCAUCGACACCCGGACCAGACCUUUUGUGACGGUUCCGCGGUAGAGCAUGUAUGUUGGGACCCGAAAGAUGGUGAACUAUGCCUGAAUAGGGUGAAGCCAGAGGAAACUCUGGUGGAGGCUCGUAGCGAUUCUGACGUGCAAAUCGAUCGUCAAAUUUGGGUAUAGGGGCGAAAGACUAAUCGAACCAUCUAGUAAGCUGGUUCCUGCCGA